rnacentral:tRNA from 1 species
UUAAUUGAAGCCAAAAAGAGGCUUAUCACUGUUAAUGAUAGAACUGAGAUCAAUCUCCAAUUAAG